AACGAACGCUGGCGGCAUGCCUAACACAUGCAAGUCGAACGAUGCCUUCGGGCAUAGUGGCGCACGGGUGCGUAACGCGUGGGAAUCUGCCCUUGGGUUCGGAAUAACUCAGAGAAAUUUGAGCUAAUACCGGAUGAUGACGUAAGUCCAAAGAUUUAUCGCCCAAGGAUGAGCCCGCGUAAGAUUAGCUAGUUGGUGGGGUAAAGGCCUACCAAGGCGACGAUCUUUAGCUGGUCUGAGAGGAUGAUCAGCCACACUGGGACUGAGACGCGGCCCAGACUCCUACGGGAGGCAGCAGUGGGGAAUAUUGGACAAUGGGCGAAAGCCUGAUCCAGCAAUGCCGCGUGAGUGAUGAAGGCCUAGGGUUGUAAAGCUCUUUUACCAGGGAUGAUAAUGACAGUACCUGGAGAAUAAGCUCCGGCUAACUCCGUGCCAGCAGCCGCGGUAAU
rnacentral:rRNA from 1 species